GAAGUGCUCUGUGGACAGACACAACAGAGGAGAUCCUGCUUUGGGCUCGUGUCUCAGCCAUCAUUUUUCUUCUCUACUGUAUGUCUUUAUUUUCCUUUAACACCCCCUACACACAUACACACACUCACAUACAAACAUCACUCUCCCAAGCUCCUUCAUUUCUGCUGAAGGAGAGGGAGAGGAGACGGAGAAGAGAGGAGGAGGAGGAGGGGGUUGCGAUUAGUUUCAGGGUUCUAGCUCGCUUGAUUGGCAGCUGGCAGCAUAUGGAGCCGUGAAGAAGGUUUGCCCACGCUCACUUCAGAGGAAACAAAUAUUUGCCUGAAGGAGGGAGAGAGAGAGAGCGAGAGAGAGUGAGUGAGAGUAAAAAAAAUAUUAAUUAGUUUUCAGACGCGCUGAGAGAUAAAAGUCGGCAAGACGCACCCAUCAAAAGGCUGCAGAGUUAGCUGCAAAAUGGAAAUUUUCCACAAGUUGACAGAUCCAGUAAGGCUGCAAGCAGAGCUGAGGAGGCUUCCUAUCAGAGACCUCCAAACCUCAGAAGCCGAGUGGCAGGGGAGCCGCCAGGUUUACAUUUGAGUCCGUAUGAGCGUGUGUGUGUGUGUGUUUCGGGAUAAAAUUAAAAUACAAAUGGAAAGGAAA